rfam:Chlorocebus sabaeus isolate 1994-021 chromosome 21, whole genome shotgun sequence.
GUGGAUAUAGUCUGCAUUUGACUGCAAAUUAAAGAGGUCUCUGGUUCAAAUCCAGAUGUCCCCU